rnacentral:misc_RNA from 1 species
AACAAGGCGUACCUGCGGACCUGCGGAGGGAUCAUUAACGAGUGUAACCCACCCUUUUAAAAAAUGGGUGGUACCUCCCGUCCUUUGCGGGCCCCCUUCUUUUAUUAAGGGGGGGGCUUUUAAGACUUUCUGCUUCGGCGGGGUUAUUCCCGCCGGAACACCUUCAAAAAACUCUUGAUCAAAAAACUGUUCAGUCCGAGAAUUUUUGAAAAUUAAAACAAAACUUUCAACAACGGAUCU